GUACUUCCUUUCCAAUCCAGCAAGCAAGACGAAGAGUGAAGAUUUGAAUUUGAAAUCGAACUAUUUCACUGCAAAGAAAACCAUCGACGUCCACAAAGAUUCAGAAAUUGGAGACAGUGGAGGAACUACUCGACCUUGACGAGUUGAUAAAAACUCAACCAAGCAAGAAAGAUUUGCUGACAGCCAGGCUCUCAAAGAUUGGUGGAUAUGACUUAAAAAGCUGUUUAAGCACCAUCAUGGACAGGCUCAUGACAAAUUAAUUAAUGUCCAAUCUGAACAUGAAGGGGAGAGGGGGGAAAACUGCCUUUGCCG